UUAAGUGACUAAGCGUACAUGGUGGAUGCCUUGGCAGUCAGAGGCGAUGAAGGACGUACUAACCUGCGAUAAGCCGUGAGCAGUCGGUAAGAGACAUUACGACUCACGGAUUUCCGAAUGGGGAAACCCACUUAGCAUAAGCUAGGUAUCGCUACGUGAAUACAUAGCGUAGCGAGGCGAACCGGGAGAACUGAAACAUCUAAGUACCCCGAGGAAAAGAAAUCAACCGAGAUUCCCUCAGUAGCGGCGAGCGAACGGGGAUUAGCCCUUAAGCAUCUUGGAAGUUAGUGGAACGGUCCUGGAAAGGCCGGCGAUACAGGGUGAUAGCCCCGUACACGAAAACAACCUUGAUGUGAAAUCGAGUAGGGCGGGACACGUGACAUCCUGUCUGAAUAUGGGGGGACCAUCCUCCAAGGCUAAAUACUCCUGACUGACCGAUAGUGAACCAGUACCGUGAGGGAAAGGCGAAAAGAACCCCUGUGAGGGGAGUGAAAUAGAACCUGAAACCGUGUACGUACAAGCAGUGGGAGCCCUUCGGGGUGACUGCGUACCUUUUGUAUAAUGGGUCAGCGACUUACAUUUUGUAGCGAGGUUAACCGUAUAGGGGAGCCGUAGGGAAACCGAGUCUUAACUGGGCGUCUAGUUGCAAGGUGUAGACCCGAAACCGGGUGAUCUAGCCAUGGGCAGGUUGAAGGUUGAGUAACAUCAACUGGAGGACCGAACCCACUAACGUUGCAAAGUUAGGGGAUGACCUGUGGCUGGGGGUGAAAGGCCAAUCAAACUCGGAGAUAGCUGGUUCUCCCCGAAAGCUAUUUAGGUAGCGCCUCGGACGAAUACUACUGGGGGUAGAGCACUGUUUGGGCUAGGGGGUCAUCCCGACUUACCAACCCCAUGCAAACUCCGAAUACCAGUAAGUAAUAUCCGGGAGACACACGGCGGGUGCUAACGUCCGUCGUGAAGAGGGAAACAACCCAGACCGCCGGCUAAGGUCCCAAAGUUCUGGUUAAGUGGGAAACGAUGUGGGAAGGCUCAGACAGCUAGGAUGUUGGCUUAGAAGCAGCCAUCAUUUAAAGAAAGCGUAAUAGCUCACUAGUCGAGUCGGCCUGCGCGGAAGAUGUAACGGGGCUCAAACCAGGCACCGAAGCCGCGGAUUCACACUAAGUGUGAGUGGUAGGGGAGCGUUCUGUAAGUCUGCGAAGGUGUGUCGAGAGGCAUGCUGGAGAUAUCAGAAGUGCGAAUGCUGACGUAAGUAACGAUAAAGGGGGUGAAAAGCCUCCUCGCCGGAAGACCAAGGGUUCCUGUCCAACGUUAAUCGGGGCAGGGUGAGUCGACCCCUAAGGCGAGGCCGAAAGGCGUAGUCGAUGGGAAGCAGGUUAAUAUUCCUGCACGACUUGUAAUUGCGAUGGGGGGACGGAGAAGGCUAGGUGGGCCAGGCGACGGUUGUCCUGGUGAAAGUGCGUAGGUGGUGUUUCUAGGCAAAUCCGGAGACACAACACUGAGACACGAGACGAACACACUACGGUGUGGAAGCCAUUGAUGCCCUGCUUCCAGGAAAAGCCUCUAAGCUUCAGAUUACAAGUCAUCGUACCCCAAACCGACACAGGUGGUCGGGUAGAGAAUACCAAGGCGCUUGAGAGAACUCGGGUGAAGGAACUAGGCAAAAUAGAACCGUAACUUCGGGAGAAGGUUCGCUCUUGACAGUGAAGUCCCUUGCGGAUGGAGCAGUUGGGAGUCGCAGUGACCAGAUGGCUGGGACUGUUUAUCAAAAACACAGCACUCUGCAAACACGAAAGUGGACGUAUAGGGUGUGACACCUGCCCGGUGCCGGAAGGUUAAUUGAUGGGGUUAGCGCAAGCGAAGCUCUUGAUCGAAGCCCCGGUAAACGGCGGCCGUAACUAUAACGGUCCUAAGGUAGCGAAAUUCCUUGUCGGGUAAGUUCCGACCUGCACGAAUGGUGUAACCAUGGCCAUGCUGUCUCCACCCGAGACUCAGUGAAAUCGAAUUCGCCGUGAAGAUGCGGUGUACCCGCGGCUAGACGGAAAGACCCCGUGAACCUUUACUACAGCUUGGCACUGAACAUUGAACCUACAUGUGUAGGAUAGGUGGGAGGCUUUGAAGGCGUGACGCCAGUUGCGCUGGAGCCGUCCUUGAAAUACCACCCUUGUAUGUUUGAUGUUCUAACGCAGGCCCCUGAAUCGGGGUCGCGGACAGUGCCUGGUGGGUAGUUUGACUGGGGCGGUCUCCUCCCAAAGAGUAACGGAGGAGCACGAAGGUUGGCUAAUCCUGGUCGGACAUCAGGAGGUUAGUGCAAUGGCAUAAGCCAGCUUAACUGCGAGACGGACAGGUCGAGCAGGUACGAAAGUAGGUCAUAGUGAUCCGGUGGUUCUGAAUGGAAGGGCCAUCGCUCAACGGAUAAAAGGUACUCCGGGGAUAACAGGCUGAUACCGCCCAAGAGUUCAUAUCGACGGCGGUGUUUGGCACCUCGAUGUCGGCUCAUCACAUCCUGGGGCUGAAGUCGGUCCCAAGGGUAUGGCUGUUCGCCAUUUAAAGUGGUACGCGAGCUGGGUUCAGAACGUCGUGAGACAGUUCGGUCCCUAUCUGCCGUGGGCGUUGGAUGAUUGAAGGGAGUUGCUCCUAGUACGAGAGGACCGGAGUGAACGAACCUCUGGUGUUCGGGUUGUCACGCCAGUGGCACUGCCCGGUAGCUAAGUUCGGAAUCGAUAACCGCUGAAAGCAUCUAAGCGGGAAGCGAGCCCUGAGAUGAGUCAUCCCUGACCCCUUGAGGGUCCUAAAGGGCCGUUGGAGACCACAACGUUGAUAGGUGGGGUGUGUAAGCGCGGCGACGUGUUGAGCUAACCCAUACUAAUUACCCGUGAGGCUUAACCA
rnacentral:rRNA from 1 species